GGACGGAUGUAGAUGCACUGGGCUGAAUGUGGAAGGCAUAGUGAAAGGUGGCAACCCCGUGGAAAAAAGCAUCUCUGAUGUUCAUGUACUUACCAAAAUUAAGGAGGAGGGAUUUAUUUCAUUUGCUCCUGAAGUUAAAUCUCAUGAAAUCAUGUGAAAUUCAGUGAUGUGUUACUGGGAACAAAAAGGGUUAUGGAGUCCCUGAGGACUAGUUCGGGGACACUGAAAAUAGAGAAAUGGAUGCAAGAGGUACUGCAAUGAAAAACCAAUGCUGAUUAAGAACAACUGAAGAAGCUGCAACUUAGUGGAAAAGACACCAAAUUGUUACGUUAUUAAUUGUGAUGCCUUCCCACAAGAGCUGUGUCUGUACUGUGCCACAUAACCCCUGAAGCUGAAUAAAGAACUUUCUCCUUGAUUCCCCCAGCCCUCCAAAAACAUCAGGUGAUGAGGUCCCAUUGUAAAUGACCCAAGGACAAACAGCUCAUGACUUCAAAGGAGGCCUCUUCAACCCAGGGCAAAUUCAGGCCUUCAUUCCAGGGGUCUGUAAGCAAGUACUGAGUGAAGAGAUAUCCUAAAAUCAAUCGUUCCUCUUUGCCAACCCUGGAUAAUGGCAACAACUUCUUUAGUGGCAUGCUGCAUGCUCUGUUUGGUCAUGUCCAGAGAUACCCAAGAUAAAGAAGUUUGAUAAAUAUACACAUUAACUCAGCAAAAAUAACAUGGUUAUUUUCAUGAAUAUUGCACUUGGGCACAUCAGCAAAAUUCAAAAGUGAUAAAAGAAAAAUUGUUGCCUGUCAAAAAG
rnacentral:lncRNA from 1 species